UCUCCUUCCAUGCUCCCCGUCGGGCACCGCCGCCUCCCCUCUCCUCUCCGGCUCCCCUCCCCACCCCUCACCCCUCCGCACGGCACGGGCCGGCGUUGAUACGGCGGGUCGCGGCUUACCUCCCGCAGCUGCUCAUCGGUGAGAGCAUCCUCGAAGGCCUCCUCCUCCUCCUGCUGCUGCUCCGGCCUUGGAGCCUCCCCGCCGGCCGUGGCCCCCGCUUGCUCCUCGGGCGCCUGCGGCAACGAGGCAUACACCACCUCCCCGGCGACCACGACGGUUGCCGGCUCCUCGGAACCGGCGGGGAGGGUUGCGUCGCCUUCUCGAGCUCCAACUUUGACUCUAGCUCGAUCAGCACAGGGAGGGGCGCGUCGCCAUGGAGGAGGAAGGGGAGGAGGCCACGCCGCCGGCCGCGGCGCUGGGCAAGGCGGAGGCGGAGCCGGUGGCGGUGCCGCCGCCGGAUCCGUUCGCGCAGCUCGACGUGACGCGCAAGAUCACCUCCAUCGCGCUGUCGUCCCGCCUCGGCUGCGCUCUGCCCGUUGUUCAUCGAGCAAUGGUCGCUUCGCUGGCGGCGAACAUCCGACAGAUGCACGGCAAGAGCAAAAGGGGAUUGAUGAUCGAUGAUGGCCGUGUAUAGGUGGCUACAGGAACCAGUGGAGGAGAUGGUUUGCAAGCGCCUCGUGGUGCUCCUAAAUUCUUGCUUGGAAGACUCCUUCGCACACUUUGCUGGGCAUCCAACAUAAUAAAAGUAGCUCAGACCAAGUCCUGUUAUCUGUUAUCGGUAAAGCUUUUGCCAGAGUCUUGAGAUAUUGAAGGAUGAUGGCUAUAAUGAGGAUGACAUGGCAAAUGUAAUGAGGUGGUCAGAGUUCUGAAGAUGCUUGUGCACACAUGUUCAGCGAUCAAGCGAUGCCGAUCAAUGCAAGAUCCAGCUGACUGAAACAAUAAUCUCAGUAAUGGAUUUACCACCUGGUAGUGUUAGCACUUGUCAGCCCCGCGUUGCAGCUGACACUCUGGACUCUGAGCAGUUCAAACCGUUCAAAACUUGCUAUGUGACGAGUGGAGCACAAGCAAACAACUCCUCAGCCCUCUUUACAUGUAUGAAAAGAAUGUAGCUUGCGCAAGUUAAAAUGUUGUACCAUAUUUCAUUAAACUCUCAGCUUCCUUA